rnacentral:rRNA from 1 species
UGAGCUUGAUCCUGGCUCAGGAUGAACGCUAGCGGGAGGCCUAACACAUGCAAGCCGAGCGGUAUAGAUUCUUCGGAAUCUAGAGAGCGGCGUACGGGUGCGGAACACGUGUGCAACCUACCUUUAUCAGGGGGAUAGCCUUUCGAAAGGAAGAUUAAUACCCCAUAAUAUAUUGACUGGCAUCAGUCGAUAUUGAAAACUCCGGUGGAUAGAGAUGGGCACGCGCAAGAUUAGAUAGUUGGUAGGGUAACGGCCUACCAAGUCAGUGAUCUUUAGGGGGCCUGAGAGGGUGAUCCCCCACACUGGUACUGAGACACGGACCAGACUCCUACGGGAGGCAGCAGUGAGGAAUAUUGGACAAUGGGUGAGAGCCUGAUCCAGCCAUCCCGCGUGAAGGACGACGGCCCUAUGGGUUGUAAACUUCUUUUGUAUAGGGAUAAACCUACUCUCGUGAGAGUAGCUGAAGUAC